UCACUAAUCGUCUGUAACGCUUCAAAUCUUAAGCCAAGACGAGGAACCCCCAAAUUUCCCUGAAUUUGUUGAUUGCCACUGAUAGAAAACAUUAUGCUGGGUACUCCAUGUAUAAUCUAUUCAACAAUUCGACACCUGAUUGGUUUCGCAGCUCUUAUAUUCGAGCUAGAUGAUGAAUUAAAGUUGAAGAAUAUGAUUGAUAUUUCAGACGUUUUACCUUGGAAGAAGGAAACCCAAGUUGAGUUUUUGGUUUAAGACAUGAAGAAGGAAACCCGGAUUGAAUUCUUAUGCAACAAUCUGUACUCUUAAGAGAUAUUCUCAGGAAUGAAAAAUUUGAGAUGACAGUUAUAUCAACUGGAGAGUAUUUUGAACUGUCUGCAUCAUAGCAAUGACCAGAAACAAAUAGUGUUGGAUUGUUUGAGUUACACCUUUAGUAAUCAUGGUGGAUAGUUUGGGUUCUGCUACAUAUAAGGUCACUGAUAUGCUGGAUAAAAGUGUAAUGUAGUAUCAGAAGCAGAGUUGUGGGCAUCUUGAAUCAACCAGAGAUUCCCUUGCAAGCAAUUAUUUGAUAGUAUUAAGUAUUGGAUAAGGUUGGCUAAGUUCUUAUUGUAGCUUUGAUUGGCAGUGGAGCCUCCCCUACUACACUCCGUUGAAAUCCUAGGCUAAUUUGCAAGCUCGACAUUUAGAAACAAAACAUAUGGAGAAUCUAAUAGGGAAGAUAUUCUUUUCUUAAUUUCUCCCAUUUGGUUUUGAUUGAAUCAGUGUAUCCUUAGUCUGCAACAUUUCACUCAGAAUUUUCGGUGUUACUCCUCGGCCCUACUUACUAUGUAGUCUAUUGAUAUGGCUCAAUUGUUUAUCUUUUAUAGUUUGAAUUAAUUGUGAAUAUACUACAUUAUGCAGAAAUUUGGAUAGCAGUGGAGUUGUGUUGGGUGAUCUUGGGUUUGGACGGUAAGAAUUCAAAAAGUGGACUGGAAUCAUGGCUGUUAUAAUGGUUUGAAACUUCUCACAAUGUUGAAAAACAUCAAAUUGAAGUUCGUUAAUUUCGAGGUCAACAAAAAAACUGAAAAAAGGUUAGUUUUGUUUCCUUCAAAAGGAUUGUCAAGACGAUGACAAUCAUUCGCCAACGUGUGUAGAUGCUGAAGUAUAUUCAAUUUACUUUGUUUGCGAUGGGAGUAAAAGGAUGAUUCGUCUAUGCUCAAACGUAGGACUGAACUUUACAGAGAAGAAUCAGAAGAAUCAACUUGCUUUUGUAGUUAUGGCCAUAAACCAAGUCGUAUACACCCACAACCUGAUACAAGAUAUACGUAUUGAGACAUAACCUAUAAAGCUCGAACAUGGAUCACUGUGUAGCUCGAGGUAGUUUGAUGUUAGUUUUUUGUUCUUUAUUUAUGCAGGCUCUUUAAUAUCUUUAUCAUAUGUUGGUAUCCUCGGGUUAAUCUUAUUUUGACUGCCAAAUUCAUGCCCAAAUCUGCUGGGCUAUGUUAUGCGUAAUAGAGACCGUUUUUGCAAUAGAAGAAGGUUGUCGUUAGUGAACGGUAUUGACCGCAACUAUAUUUUCACCUGUUUGUCAAUUUACUUUUGU